UGGGGAAUUUUGGACAAUGGGCGAAAGCCUGAUCCAGCAAUGCCGCGUGUGUGAAGAAGGCCUUCGGGUUGUAAAGCACUUUUGUCCGGAAAGAAAUCCUUGGCUCUAAUACAGUCGGGGGAUGACGGUACCGGAAGAAUAAGCACCGGCUAACUACGUGCCAGCAGCCGCGGUAAUACGUAGGGUGCAAGCGUUAAUCGGAAUUACUGGGCGUAAAGCGUGCGCAGGCGGUUUGCUAAGACCGAUGUGAAAUCCCCGGGCUCAACCUGGGAACUGCAUUGGUGACUGGCAGGCUAGAGUAUGGCAGAGGGGGGUAGAAUUCCACGUGUAGCAGUGAAAUGCGUAGAGAUGUGGAGGAAUACCGAUGGCGAAGGCAGCCCCCUGGGCCAAUACUGACGCUCAUGCACGAAAGCGUGGGGGAGCAAAACAGGAUUAGAUACCCUGGUGAGUCCACGCCCCUAAACGAUGUCAACUAGUUGUUGGGGAUUCAUUUCCUUAGUAACGUAGCUAACGCGUGAAGUUGACCGCCUGGGGAGUACGGUCGCAAGAUUAAAACUCAAAUGAAUUGACGGGGUCAUA
rnacentral:rRNA from 1 species